UACGUCAGGUUACCUGUCGAAAUGAAUUGAAAAGUAUAAAAAUUUAAUUUAUAAAUUUAUAGACCCCAGAUUCCCAGAAUAGCUGGCGCCCAAGAUGUUGAGCGUGCAACGGGUUACCCUAACGCGUUAUAUUACGAUUAAGGGUCUGCAAGCUCUGGUGAAUCGGCUGGAAUGUGCUAAUGAUUGCCAUAUCCUACCCACCGCUCAUCCGAACUACCAGGUGCAGGCUCGACGUGAACAUGAUCCACAACUACAGUUUCCAGCGAUUUGGCGCGAUGCAAUAACUGCCAAUGUUGAAAUGAAGUGUGGUCCGGAUUGGAGGCAUUUGACGAUAUGACGAUACAAAACCAUAGAGAAAACUCACGUAUUCACAAUUAUGUCCGUACUGUGCAAAUUGUCAGUUACAAACUGAAACUGAAAUAAAACAAUAAAUAAGCA